UACAGAGGUCUCAAGCGUUGUUCGGAUUCAUUGGGCGUAAAGGGUGCGUAGGCGGCGCUGUAAGUCGGGCGUGAAAUCUCGGAGCUUAACUCCGAAACUGCAUUCGAUACUGCCGUGCUUGAGGACUGGAGAGGAGACUGGAAUUUACGGUGUAGCGGUGAAAUGCGUAGAUAUCGUAAGGAAGACCAGUGGCGAAGGCGGGUCUCUGGACAGUUCCUGACGCUGAGGCACGAAGGUCAGGGGAGCAAACGGG
rnacentral:rRNA from 1 species